GCCAAACGCAAAUGAAUCUCAGACAAAUUCUGCUUGUCAUAACUCUAUUCAUUGUGCUCUUUGGCCUAAUCUUAUCAUUGUUAAUAGUUCCGUAUGAUUCAGACACUGAUUUGGAUACUCGAGGUCCUCUGACUGAGUUUCCUAAACAAGAAAUGAUACUUCACAUGCCUGAAAAUGAAUAAUCUAGAAUAUUUCAUUAACAUUCAGCUGACCAGUUUUAAAUAAGAGCAGUUGGGAUUGCAUUCAAUUAAACUGGAGUCUAUAAGAUAGAAAGGAACCUCAGAAGCCAUCUGUCAACCUCCUGCCCAAGGAAGGAAUCACCACUUCAAGAGUCCUGGAACAUGUUCAAGGAUAAGGGGCUACUGUUUUUUGAAGAAGAUGGUUCAGUUGUGAAUCACCUAGAAAGGAACAACAGUUAAAAAUGGGAACAGAGGUAUCCCAAGAGAACUCUUACUGCUAUAGUAUUUGUGAGGUCAUGACAGUAUUAUCAACAUCUCGGGACCUAUUAAUAGUUUUGUCAAGAAGAAAAGAAAAUGAAUAGCCUAGUUCAGUAAUUCCCCUCAUUUGGAAAGGAAUCAAGAACCCCUUUGUGAUUCUGUUGACAGCUAUGGUCCCUCUCCCAAGAAAAUGUCUACUUUGCAUUCAAUUUCAAUAAAUUUCCAGAAGCCUUGAUGUGCAUCCACAGGUUCUAUGUGAGAAAACCCUCUUCUUGGAUGAUUUCUAAGUCUACAGUGUUGUAUACUUCACAGGAAUAAAAAAUCAACCAACCAGCCGAGCGCAGUGGCUCACACCUAUAAUCCCAGCACUUUGGGAGGCCAAGGUGGGCAGAUCACUUGAGGUCAGGAGUUCUAGACCAGCCUGGCCAACAUGGUGAAAACCCAUCUCUACUAAAAACACAAAAAAAUUAGCCAGGUGUGGUGGCAUGUGCCUGUAGUCCCAGCUACUCAGGAGGCUGAGGCAAGAGAAUCGCUGGAGCCCAUGAAGCAGAGGUUGCAGUGAGCCGAGAUCACGCCACUGUAUUCCAGCCUAGGCAACGGAGCAAAGCUCUGUCUCAAAGAAAAAAAAAAAAAAUCAACCAACCAACCAACAUUUAUUGAGCAACUGCUAUGUGCAAAACACUGCAGUGGAUCUUGUGUGGAUAAUACAAGAAAAGAUAUUAUAUAAUCCCUGCCUUCAAACAGCUGUAUAGUCAAGUUUGCAAAAUAAGACAAGAGUAGGGACAUUAGUUCUCCAGGCACUCAAAAGAAAUAUCAUUUCUAGCUUGGGUUGUCAGGCAAGGCUUCAAAAGAGGUCAUGAACUAUGAAUUGGUCUAGAUAAAUUAUUAGGAUUGGAAAGAAAGUAGGAAAAGGCAUUUGAUAUCAGGAAAUAAUAAAAUUCUUCAUUUUAACACUUACCUGAAUUUGUGGGCUGAAAAAUUUAAUUUUAGGAAAAAUGCUGUAUGUUAACUAUAACUAAGAACUUUAUUUUCUGACCAGAUAGUGUGCCUCACGCCACAUCAGUACAAUUUGUUCACCUUAGCCCAGCUAUCUGCUGAAAAGAUAUCACACAACUGGAAGCCCCUGGCCUUCCUUCUCAGAAGCCAACUAAAAUGUGCAUUGCACUGUUUACCAUGAUAAGAAUACCUGUCAGUAGAAAUUGAUUUGAGGUUCUUAACUUACCUCUCCAUGGCCGGAGGAGCCAACAGAGAGAAAUUUAUUUUUAUUCCAAGGUGGCUUUGUAUCUCAUUAGCAAUCCCAUAAGCCUCCGCCCUUUUUAUUCAACUGUCAACAGUCCUUGAUGUUCUGAAUAAAGAGCUGUCCAAACUAGGAUUAAACAGAAGAGGAGGGAAAAAAAUCACUGUUCUCAUUCUGAGAUUCCAUGUGGAGGUGCUAAGCUAGUUCAACUCCCUAGAGAGCGACCUUUUUAUUUUCUUUGCAAUCCUGGUCACAAUUCAGGAUUUAGGCAUUUGCAUCAUGAGGCUUGAUUCCUGCUACAAUUCUUUCCACCAAAAAUACAACACAGUAGCACAGAGUAUAUUUGAAAUUCCAAUAAAAUCAAUGUUGACUUGAUUGGGAAAUUCUGAAAAUUAGAAUUAAAGUCUAAGGAGAGACAGAUUAAGUUAUUAAUUAGCUAGGGUUGCCAGAAAACAGCAAUAUAUAAAAAGAGAAUAUAAGGAAGACGACUUCCUGUAAAGCUGUCAUCAUGCAUUCAACUAGAAAUGGAUCCUGCAGUCCCACAUGUAGAAAUGAGAUGAAAGUUUGGAGUAGCUGCCUCCUUUCAAGAGAUUCACAAUUUUGAAGUGUUACAGCAUAUUCCCAGAGGGCUGGGUGAGAUUGUGUGUGUGGUGGGGUAAAGUAGAGAAAAAAGUGUCACAGAAAAUUAGUAGUUCAAAAAAAGAAAUAAAAAAACAUAAUUUGAAAUGAACUUGCUUCGGCACUCUGUAGCUGGGGGUGGCAGGUAAUAAGACUCAACAUACCCAUAUGAUAGUUGUACCACUUAGAAUCUUUGGGGCUACAAGUAACCAGAAAACCCUGACUCAUUUCAAUUUUUAAUUUUUUUUCUAUUUAUGGAAUAUCUCACAUAAUGAAAUAACAGAAGUAGGGCAGGACCUAGCCAAGGAAGAGCUAUCAGGAUUCCUUCUCUGCUCCCCUGAGAUUCUCCUGGCUCUGCCCCUAUACCCUAGAUUAGCUUCAUUCUCACGAGGAAGGUAAGAGGCCUGUGACAGUUCUAGGCAUCAUGUCCUUACAUGACAAUGUCCAGAGGAAAACAGAACCAUUUUUUUCUAUGCCUUUUUCUCAAGAUUGAGGUAAACUUUCCUGGAAGCCCCCAGCAGACUUCCCCUCAUCUCUUCUGGUAGAUUUAGAUCGUAUGCCCAUUCCUAAACUAGUCUCAAGUGGAAAGAAUAGGAUUAUCAUGACUGAUUCUUAUAUUGUGGUCCCCAGGCCACCAGCAGCAUUUGAGAAAAAUGCAAACUAUUAGGAUCCACUCCAGACUUACUGGAUCAGAAUCUCUAGAGUUGAAGCACAGCAGCAGAGCAAUCUGUGUUUUAAUAAGAAUUCCAGGAGAUUCAGAUGCACUUAAGUUUGUGAACCAUUGGUUUGGAGCAGAGUGGAAUGGAUGUUGGAUUCUCAACCACAAUGAGGACACUGGUCAAGGAGUCAGCAAUUAGGAAGACCACAACUAUUAAAAUAACCUGAGUCACUUUUGACUAGCAUUAUGACAUUUAUGAAUGCUUACUGUCUUUUUUUUUUUUUUUUGCUAAAAG
rnacentral:lncRNA from 1 species